UGGGGAAUAUUGGACAAUGGGCGAAAGCCUGAUGCAGCAACGCCGCGUGAGGGACGACGGCCUUCGGGUUGUAAACCUCUUUUAGCAGGGAAGCGGUACCUGCAGAAAAAGCACCGGCUAACUACGUGCCAGCAGCCGCGGUAAUACGUAGGGUGCAAGCGUUAUCCGGAAUUAUUGGGCGUAAAGAGCUCGUAGGCGGUCUGUCGCGUCUGCUGUGAAAACCCGAGGCUCAACCUCGGGCCUGCAGUGGGUACGGGCAGACUAGAGUGCGGUAGGGGAGAUUGGAAUUCCUGGUGUAGCGGUGGAAUGCGCAGAUAUCAGGAGGAACACCGAUGGCGAAGGCAGAUCUCUGGGCCGUAACUGACGCUGAGGAGCGAAAGAUGGGGGAGCGAACAGGAUUAGAUACCCUUGUAGU
rnacentral:rRNA from 1 species